AUUAAUGGGCCAAGGCGACCUUUCUCUUUGCCAUGGGAGGGGUCGAUCGACAUCUAUAAAUAGCGGCCUUCGGCGCGCAGCAUCUGCAAACAAACAACACAACUCCUCCAAGCCCCAACUAGUUACAACCCAGCCACAUCGAUUCACGAUGGCGUCCUUGGCCAGAGCCGCCCGUUUGAUGGUGCUCCUGCAGAUCGCGCUGUUCGUCGUCGUCUCCGCGGUGAUCAUGAGCAGCUCCGUCUGCCACGGAGCCGGGAUCGGUCCUGGUGCUCUGGACCCUAGCCGCCGCCCCAUAUGCGGAGGCAGACCGUGCGGACAGCCUGGCCUGCCGUACGGCGGCCGUCCUCGGCCCUACCCUUACCGUCCGCAGCCCGGCCCCGGAGCCCCUCCGCCGUACAAUGGAGGGAUUGGACGACCGUGAUCAUAGCAGUACUGUACAAGUUGCUGCAACAACCUUACUGAACCGGGAGUGUAAUAUCCGGUCGUAGGAAUAACUCCCGUUUAUUACUGCGAAUAAAACUGCAAGUCUGGCUCCCAUAUAUUAAUGGGUGUGUGAACGUGAAAGUUCGGUUCCAAAUUACUAUCACUUCCUCUGUUCGCUUUUAUAAGUCGUUUCAGACAACUGAAAAUGAGCUACUUUGCACUCUGUCUAAAAUGUCCUCAAGACCUUAUAAAAAUGAACAGAGGAAGUAAUAAAGAUGAAUAGUCUAAGUGUAAGUGUAAGUGCAAGUGUUAUGUUUUGCAAUCUGGAUUCAGUCUACAAGGCUGCCUCGUGCUAUUUUACUCUAGGCAACAUGGUGGGCACAUGGCUGCAGCUGUACGCUCCCACUCGAUCCAAGUACCCUUCCUUGUGCUUAUACCACGCCCCAUCCAUGUCAUGUUUCCUUCCCCAAAUCCCUUGUCCAAAUAAUUUACAGUGUAAAAUAAAUUGGACGGUAAUUCUACUGCUUAAUAAGCGUAACAAGUUAUGUUUCUCUUUUAAGGGAAAUUAACAAGCUGGAUUGAAAUGCCAUGCUUAACUGACAAGAGCAUUGGAUAGGAUAGCACGAGCAGUUCAGCACCUAUACACCAUAGGAACUUGUGCCGUCAAACAAAAACCCAGAGAGAAGAGGGAGUACGACCAUUUCAAAUAAGCAAUUUAUCAAUUUUGAGAUGCUCUCUGCACGAGUGUCUCUGCCCGUACAACAUCAGGCGUGUCGUUUCCUAUAAUGCAUACUGCAUAAACAACCUUGAUCCCAUUGCACAUGGGAAUCCUAUAGGAAUAUGGGAGCUGAAACCGUUAUUCAACUGGUUAAGCUUGAGCGGUUACUCGACUGGUUUGUUCGUUGCAUGUUUGCAGGGAGGUACACUUUGGGUUUGCCUUGUCAUCUCAUUACCGGCGACAAGGAAGUAUGCAGUGUGCCUGGAACAAGAUAACAAAUGACAAUAUCUUAGCCGAGGCUGAUAUGCUGCCGAAUGUUGGAUGAAGAUCAAGUCUCCAAAGCUUGCUGCAUGUGGUGUAGCGAUCGCUCCGCAGCUUGGUGGGUAACUCGGAAUGGCUGAUGUAGUCCUAUCAAGGCAGGAUGUCCUGCGAGAAGCAGACAGAGCAGGUAAUUAAAAUCCGAAAAAUAUGAAUUGCAAGUGCUUGGUGACGUCAAGGAGGGUUCAUGUUGCUAUUAAUUUCCAUAAUUACAAGAAUGGCACAGAUUAUGAAAAAAGUGUAGAAUGUGUAAUACUACCUAGUGACAGUGGGUAGCAUAGCCUUUAUGCUUUACCACACGCAAAAACGGUUCAACAAUAAAUGGGCAAAAUAAGUGGGCAUAUAACAAUAGGACAAACAUUUGAUUUUUCAAUCAAUUUUGCUUAGAUCACCUAGAUGUACGAAAUGGAACCUAUUCGGCCUUCUAGCUACUCACUACACUCUGUUAAAAAAGGUAUCACUACAUAAGUACUACCUCCAUCUUAAAAUGUAAGACAUUUUUGUAGGCUAGUUUAGUACUAGACAACACAUGCCUUGAUUGAGAACUGUAAGUAUGCAACUUAUAACAUUAAUUAAGAUGUGUUGGUGCUAGAUUCGGAUAUGAAAAAGUAUUCCACGAAUAAACCAGAUGAUCGAUUUGGUGAUUUGGGAAUUUAAAGAGUGAACUAGGAGAACCUUUCAAUGUCACAGAAAUUCAGUUCAAUGCCUUUUGACUAUCACUAAAAAUAAAGCUCAUUUGUGAGUUCAGGAAGGCGCCACUGCUUUAGGGACCUCGGUCUCCAAUUCGGAUGGAGUGCUGUAAUUGCUAUGUAAUUCCACUAUCAGACUCUAAUCCUAGCUCCCAAUAUCUUUUUUGUUGCUUCCAUGAUUUGAUCAAAUGUAGUUUCCUGUAGGAAUCAUACUAGCACCCUUUGGCACUAAUAUAGCCCUCCUUGCGUCGUCAGCCUCUCCGCCAAUAAGUGGUGCGAGUUAUGGGUCCAGGUGCAGAUGUUCGACGGGCACAUGGUGCUCGAGCGCGGCUGGGAGUACUUCUGCCGCCGGCACAAGAUCGUCCCCGGUGGCCUGGGGCUGAAGGUGCGGAUUUUCAACACCAACGCCUCGAACAUCUGCAGGGUCCGGUGUUCCAAGAACAGUUGCAUCGAUGACAUCGCGCAUGCCAUGUAGUUUGUCUGUCAAGUCUGAAGUGAAGUAGUUUAGGACUGAACUUAAGUUUGAAUGCCUGUUUUGUUGUGAAUAUGUCCAUAUUUUCCCAGAGAGCAGCACCCUAGGGUCCAACAGGGGCAUGGGAUGCCCUGCUGUUUUAAACUUAUGCCUAUUAGUAC